UGACGUGGUGUCUAAACAUCCCGGUGUGACUUGACGACACUGAUACCAGUUAUCCUCUUUCAUUUUUCUCACCGUCGCCGGACCGGACUUUCGAAGAGGCUGGAGCUCAAGCCGGCGAACCAACUUCUCGCCGAUCUUUCUAUUUUUCCUUCCGUACUCAGUUGUGAACUCGUUUCUUCUACCUCCCUCCAUUUCUGUGGUUCAGCGCCGCGGCAAAUCUCGAGAUUUUUGCAAUAAGAUCAGCGUAAAG